GCAACCAAGACAACAAAUUCCAGCUAGAGUUAGUUUCUAGUCUGAGCCGACGUCUUGGUAAAUAGGAAUCCUCUUGAUCCUCGGCCACCUUCUGUAUGUGGUUGAGUUUGCACGGGGCGAACAA
rnacentral:snoRNA from 1 species